rnacentral:rRNA from 1 species
AGAACUUAGCAGAGAUGCUUUGGUGCCUUCGGGAACUCUGAGACAGGUGCUGCAUGGCUGUCGUCAGCUCGUGUUGUGAAAUGUUGGGUUAAGUCCCGCAACGAGCGCAACCCUUUAUCCUUUGUUGCCAGCGGUUAGGCCGGGAACUCAAAGGAGACUGCCAGUGAUAAACUGGAGGAAGGUGGGGAUGACGUCAAGUCAUCAUGGCCCUUACGAGUAGGGCUACACACGUGCUACAAUGGCGCAUACAAAGAGAAGCGACCUCGCGAGAGCAAGCGGACCUCAUAGAGUGCGUCGUAGUCCGGAUUGGAGUCUGCAACUCGACUCCAUGAAGUCGGAAUCGCUAGUAAUCGUGGAUCAGAAUGCCACGGUGAAUACGUUCCCGGGCCUUGUACACACCGCCCGUCACACCAUGGGAGUGGGUUGCAAAAGAAGUAGGUAGCUUAACCUUCGGGAGGGCGCUUACCACUUUGUGAUUCAUGACUGGGGUGAAGUCGUAACAAGGUAAGCGUAGUGCU